rnacentral:rRNA from 1 species
UCAAGCUAUAAAGAGCGCAAGGGGAAUGCCUUGGCAUCAGGAGCCGAAGAAGGACGUGACAAGCUGCGAUAAGCUUCGGGGAGGAGCAAAUAUCCGUUGAUCCGGAGAUUUCCGAAUGGGGAAACCCACCAGAGCAAUACUCUGGUAUCGUGCGUUGAAUAAAAUAGGCGUACGAAGGGAACGCCCUGAACUGAAACAUCUAAGUAGGGGCAGGAAAAGACAUCAACCGAGAUUCCGCAAGUAGUGGCGAGCGAACGCGGAGGAGGCCAAACCGGUGGAUUUAUUCACCGGGGUUCGGACUGGCAUCACGAUCAGAGGUAUCUAGAAGAACGGCAUGGGAAGGCCGGCCAUAGAGGGUGAGAGCCCCGUAUUUGAAAGAGAAGACUGACAGCCAGUAUCCAGAGUACCGCGGGACACGUGAAACCCCGUGGGAAGAUGGGUGGACCACCAUCCAAGCCUAAAUACUACCUGAUGACCGAUAGAGGAGCAGUACCGUGAGGGAAAGGUGAAAAGGACCCCGGGAGGGGAGUGAAAGAGAACCUGAAACCUUGUGCUUACAAGCACUCAAAGCACGUUAAGGUGUGAUGAGGUACUUUUUGUAGAACGGUCCGGCGAGUUAUAGUAACGAGCAAGCUUAAGGUAUUCAGUACCGGAGGCGAAGCGAGAGCGAGUCUGAAUAGGGCGCAUAAAGUUCGUUGCCAUAGACCCGAAACCGGGUGACCUAACCAUGAGCAGGCUGAAGUGAGAGUAAAAUCUCAUGGAGGGCCGAACGCACGUUCGUUGCAAUGACCGGCGAUGACUUGUGGUUAGCGGAGAAAUUCCAAUCGAACUCGGAGAUAGCUGGUUCUCCCCGAAAUAGCUUUAGGGCUAGCGUUGAUUUAGAUUACCGGAGGUAAAGCACUGAAUGGGCUAGGGGGCGAUAAGCUUACUGAACCCUAUCAAACUCUGAAUGCCGGCUAAUUGAUGAUCAGCAGUCAGACAGUGUGAGAUAAGUUUCAUUGUCAAAAGGGAAACAGCCCAGACCUACAGCUAAGGUCCCAAAUGUAUGCUAAGUGGAAAACGAUGUGGAGUUGCGAAAACAACCAGGAUGUUGGCUUAGAAGCAGCCAUUCAUUAAAAGAGUUCGUAAUAGAUCACUGGUCGAGUGACUCUGCGCGGAAAAUAUAACGGGGCUAAGCAUGCAACCGAAGCUUAGGAUGUCCGCAAGGGCGUGGUAGGGGAGCGUCGUGUACGGGGUGAAGUCGCAGCGGAAGCAGCGGUGGACUGUACAGGAGUGAGAAUGCCGGAAUGAGUAGCGAGAAUUAUGUGGGAAUCAUAAUGGCCGAAAAUCUAAGGUUUCUUGGGGAAGGUUCGUCCGCCCAAGGUAAGUCGGGAGCUAAGCUCAGGCCGAGAGGCGUAGGCGAUGCACAUACGGUAGAAAUUCCGUAACCACCGAAACUUAAACAGAGGGACACUUCAGGAUAGCGGAACCCGGGCGUUGGUUGACCCGGGCGAAAGGGAGCGAAAUAAGAGUAGCGAAGUCCGCGAUGCCUGGAGGCGAGAAAAGCUCUGAGGUAUGCUAAGGUGCCCGUACCGCAAACCGACACAGGUAGAUGAGGAGAGAAUCCUAAGGCCAACGGGAGAAGGGUUGUUAAGGAACUCGGCAAAUUGACCCCGUAACUUCGGAAGAAGGGGAGCCCCCUACGGGGGGUCGCAGAGAAAUGGCCCAAGCAACUGUUUACCAAAAACACAGGUCUAUGCUAAAUCGAAAGAUGACGUAUAUGGGCUGACGCCUGCCCGGUGCCGGAAGGUUAAGAGGAGAUGUCAGGCAACGAAGCAUUGAAUUUAAGCCCCGGUAAACGGCGGCCGUAACUAUAACGGUCCUAAGGUAGCGAAAUUCCUUGUCAGGUAAGUUCUGACCCGCACGAAUGG